UUUUGUUUUUACUCUUCCCCUUUUCACGCAAGAAUUUGUUUGUUUUUAUUCGCGAAAAUCAAACCGCCACGGGUAAAAACAUCUUCCGAAAAAAAGUUUUGUCUUAUUCCUUUUGGUAUGGCUGCUCGUCAUAAAGGAAAAAGUUGUAAACCGUUUGCUUCAACAUUGACCGCUACUGGAUAGGCCUGCCGUUUGCUGUGCGAUUAUUUUGACUGGAGAAAAGUCAAACUGCUUUGGAUGCUAACUACCAUGAGUGAUUUUAUGCUGAUUGUCGAUGGAAAUGGACAAUGAUGGAAGACGUCCUUACAGUCUCACAAAACUUUCUGAAAAUGCCCGUUUUACGUUCAACGCCAGCUGCAUUCGAAGAGGGCACAACAUGUCGAAGAGGGCACAGCAACAAGCGAUACCCUUAAAGCCCGCAAACUACGUUUUCUAUGUUAAGAAUAAAUAGUUGUAAAUGGAGAGCAACUUUUACAUAAUCCAAGUUUAAAUAAAUAAGCCAUGGGUUCGGACUUACUGCGACUUUUGA